rnacentral:rRNA from 1 species
CCAGCAGCUGCGGUAAUUCCAGCUCCAAUAGCGUAUAUUAAAGUUGUUGCAGUUAAAAAGCUCGUAGUUGGUUUUCAGUCUGGGGUGGCGAAGCACUCACAACGUGAGUGACUUCUGCCUUCCUGGACUUCCUUGGUGAGAAUCUGUUUGGUAUUAAGUUAUCGGGCAGAGGAUAACCAUCGUUUACUGUGAAAAAAUUAGAGUGUUUAAAGCAGGCUUAUGCCGUUGAAUAUAUUAGCAUGGAAUAAUAAGAUAGGACUUUGAGUCUAUUUUGUUGGUUUGUGAAUCAAAGUAAUGAUUAAUAGGGACAGUUGGGGGUAUUCGUAUUUCAUUGUCAGAGGUGAAAUUCUUGGAUUUCUGAAAGACGAACUACUGCGAAAGCAUUUACCAAGGAUGUUUUCAUUAAUCAAGAACGAAAGU